CUUACUGUCCUUAAUAAAGUUGGUUCCACCUCACCUCAGUGUUAUGUUUUUCUUAGCCACUCCUCAGCCUGAGGAGUUACUGGUGUUCGUUUUGCCCCCUCGCCCCCGCAAAGGGGGCACGCAGUUUUCCUGAUAGCAGCAGGACAGGCAGAUCAUCACUGCUCUCUUAUAAAGUGGUGUGGGGGGAGAUAUCAGGGAACCAGGGCUCAGGAAGUAGCCCCGCCACCCAAAAGCCUUGUUCGUUUGUGGCCCAGCACUUUAAGUUGGGGGAAAAGAAAAAAGCCUAUGUUACGGAAACGUUCCUUGUUGCCACUGAUCUUGAAUGCUGCUGCUGCUGCUAUGGGCUUCUGAAGGUGACUUGUGUUUUUCUACUUGAAUUUCUGCAGUUGCGCUGGGUCGGCCUUUUGUCUCGUCGCGCUGCUCUCUGGCUCCAGUCUGCUGGCAAUGCCGUUGGCGGGGUCAGGCUGAUAGGAAGGUCGCUGCUGCUCCUGGGGCUGCCGUGUAGUCCAGCUGUUGAGCUCUCGGCCUCAGCACUUUAGUGACCUCCAAGUGUUCAGAAGCUGCUUCUCUGCAGGGAGCAGUGCAAAGGGAAUAUAACGAUUUGCCAUGCUUUAAUUAAACUUUUGUAAAGGGAGGUAGGAAUUUCACUUUACUAAGGCUGACAUGUCUUUAAACAGAAACAGUGUGAGCUGGCUAGUUUUAUUGCUCAGACAAAAAUAGGGUAAAUUUGCUGGUGUUCAGCACUGCUUGUUUAAAAGAGAAAAAGCACAUCUUUCAAUAUUUCAAACUUCAGAGGGAGCAAAUCUAAUUCAGUAUUUCUAAAACACAGUAUUUCAUCCGUCUGCACUAUCUUGCUGUAAGUAGCAACCAUAAUUAGCAGGGGGCACUUUGAAAAGCAAGUUUCCUGUACCAUGUGGAAGGGGGUUUUAAAUGCUUUCUGGAGGUUGGUGCCCUGAUUUGAUUUCACCCAUAGUAGUGGUCACCUUUCUUCCCACAGUGGAAGAGGGGAAAAG
rnacentral:lncRNA from 1 species